UGGAAAGAAGAGAGAAAGGGAGCUGUGGGGAUGAAAUAUGAACAAGAACAAAUUUGGUGAUUUGGGAUUUUUUCAGCUUUUUGUUAAAAAGAGAGGAAAAUCUGGGGAAGAAAAACAAAACAAAAUCUGCAAACGUUCAGUCUGGAGCAAGAGGCCAUUUUCUGCUGGAAAUGCGUGACCAGCUCUUCAGCGACCCACCUCCUGCGCUCCCUGAGGGCAAAUCUAGACCAAAGCAGCGAGGCCAAAUGUUACCUUUAGUAAGAUGUCACCCACUUGAAGCCUCCCGUCGAGAUCAGCGAUACUUCCUGGGCUGAUGGCUUUAAUUAGGAUAGCCCGGCCAUUUCUGCCACCUACCAGUGCAAAUCCCAGGCUCCCGUUGGCUGUUUUCUCCAGCUCAAUCUUAAUGAUGCAGUCCUGCAACACAGAAGGUCUCUGUUCAAAAUGGAGCUAAGUCAGGAGCCAAAUGAACUGACAGUGAUCGUGACUGGAAAUUUCUAAUGUGCCCUUCACCCUACAGGAUACCAAUGGGCUUUACAAUUUUCACUCGAUGAUGGUAUAAAUUAUAGGGCAAAUUCUUCUCUUGCAUAGACACACAAAGGGACUUAAAUGGCAGCUGCACACAAGUACCAAAGAGAUGGUAUGAUAGAUAUUUCCAUUAAAAAUAAACUUAUUAAAAACAA